rnacentral:rRNA from 1 species
GACGAACGCUGGCGGCGUGCCUAAUACAUGCAAGUAGAACGCUGAAGGAGGAGCUUGCUUCUCUGGAUGAGUUGCGAACGGGUGAGUAACGCGUAGGUAACCUGCCUGGUAGCGGGGGAUAACUAUUGGAAACGAUAGCUAAUACCGCAUAACAGUAGAUGUUGCAUGACAUUUGCUUAAAAGGUGCAAUUGCAUCACUACCAGAUGGACCUGCGUUGUAUUAGCUAGUUGGUGGGGUAACGGCUCACCAAGGCGACGAUACAUAGCCGACCUGAGAGGGUGAUCGGCCACACUGGGACUGAGACACGGCCCAGACUCCUACGGGAGGCAGCAGUAGGGAAUCUUCGGCAAUGGACGGAAGUCUGACCGAGCAACGCCGCGUGAGUGAAGAAGGUUUUCGGAUCGUAAAGCUCUGUUGUAAGAGAAGAACGAGUGUGAGAGUGGAAAGUUCACACUGUGACGUAUCUACCAGAAAGGAC